ACGACCUUACUUGAACAGGAUCUGUUCUAUAGGCUCGUACUUCUGAAUCCUUAGCACUAAGGAGACAGGAACCCAUGUCUGGUGGAUGAAUUAUGACCGUUUGAUCAGAGCGUGAUUAACAUCGUUCUCAGCUGGUUCGCUUGUUGGGUUGGUCUUACGGUUGUCUGACAGAUU